GCGAGCGGCGGAUGGGUGAGUAACACGUGGGGAACCUGCCCCUAAGUCUGGGAUACCAUUUGGAAACAGGUGCUAAUACCGGAUAAUAAAGCAGAUCGCAUGAUCAGCUUUUGAAAGGCGGCGUAAGCUGUCGCUAAGGGAUGGUCCCGCGGUGCAUUAGCUAGUUGGUAAGGUAACGGCUUACCAAGGCGACGAUGCAUAGCCGAGUUGAGAGACUGAUCGGCCACAUUGGGACUGAGACACGGCCCAAACUCCUACGGGAGGCAGCAGUAGGGAAUCUUCCACAAUGGACGCAAGUCUGAUGGAGCAACGCCGCGUGAGUGAAGAAGGUUUUCGGAUCGUAAAGCUCUGUUGUUGGUGAAGAAGGAUAGAGGUAGUAACUGGCCUUUAUUUGACGGUAAUCAACCAGAAAGUCACGGCUAACUACGUGCCAGCAGCCGCGGUAAUACGUAGGUGGCAAGCGUUGUCCGGAUUUAUUGGGCGUAAAGCGAGCGCAGGCGGAAAAAUAAGUCUAAUGUGAAAGCCCUCGGCUUAACCGAGGAACUGCAUCGGAAACUGUUUUUCUUGAGUGCAGAAAAGGAGAGUGGAACUCCCUGUGUAGCGGUGGAAUGCGUAGAUAUAUGG
rnacentral:rRNA from 1 species